UGGAGAGUGUGCCUGAAGGAAGACAGACAAUAAUUUCCUACUCUCCCAUUUGUGGAAAGCCAGUCUACAUGGGAUGUCUUCCUACCCUGGAGGAGGAAAUUGAUUUGAAAGGAAACAAGGCUUGCUGAUCCAAACACCCCCUUUGGAAUUUCCUGUCCAUACGUUUGAGGUGGGACAGUGGAUCCUGAUCUGAACGUGGAAGGAGGAGAAACUGCAACCUAAGUGGGAAGGACCAUUCCAAGUAUUGCUGACCUCUGAAACUGCAGUUCAGACGAAAGAAAAAGGGUGGACUCAUUAUACGCGAGUGAAGGGACCAGUAGCUAAACCAAAAGGACAGUGGACCUGUGUUCCGGGUGACAGCUGGCUUAAAUUGAUAUUUUGUAAAAUUCCUGUUUAAAUGUGUUGGUACUGUGACUGUAAAUGGCAUGUUGAUUGUUGUUGUUUCCAUUGUAUUGACUGUGUAUGAUGUACUGGAUGUGAAAAACAUUUUGGACCAUGCGAUAUAGUACUCAUUGAAAAGAAAUUGAAACCUUUUGAGGAAUAUACUGAGAUAUUGACUGGAGGGGUAAGAUAUACUUUAAAAGAUACUCCUUCAAUUCAACUAGUACUGGAUGUGAAGAACAACAAGAAGCCUUUAGAAAAUAUCACAAUUUAGAUAUAAAGGAAGAGUGGAAGAGUAAUUAAAAUGCAAAUCCUUAAUGUUGUAUAUUUGUCCAUGGUUAUCUAUCUCUCCCUCUCCUAAGAACAAUAUAGGAGAGCAACAAAAACAGAAGGAUGUAAAGCCUGCAUUACCAAUGCCACCAAAGGGAACGCAGUAAUCAAAACCUUGGUAUAUCAUACCCAAGCACCAAAGGGAUGUAUAUUUCAAUCUACGUGUCAAUUAAAUAAAACACAAUAUUCAGUUUGUGAGGGAAAAGACAAGAAGAUACAAUGCUACGAUCCAUCAAUACCAACAUAUUUGAAUUUCAGUAUAUAUGUGGGUUUAGCUAAAGUAGGAGUGAGACAGAGUCCUGAAGGUGAAGGAAGAUUAAUAUAUGUUAAUUCUACGAAAAUAUUAGAAAAGGGGACAGAAAAGGCUUUAAUACAAUUUGAUGCAUGUACAGUAUUAAGUUUAUCUCACCUAGCCACUAAGUGUGGGGACUCUAGUUGGAUCACAGCAUAUAAACAAAAUCAUAAAUAUAUAUGUUCCACUAAUUUAAACUUUGCAUAUGGGAACCCCAAUCAAUGGUUACCUUGUGCGGGAUCUAUUAAAUGUUCAGGGUGGAGUUGUGUGUGUGAUAACACUAGAGGAGGUUUUCCAGGAUGUAAUGGUAUUACCCAAUUUAAAAGAAUAUAUGGAACUAAUACGAUGGAGUUGGAAAUCUCUAAGAACCAUUCUGAUGUAGUAAGUUAUGGAUUUGGAAUAGAUGGUACAGGAUCCGAUCCAUUAACUUAUAUCACUAUAAAGAAAGAAAAGAUAUAUUAGCUAAGGAAGGAGGGGUAUGUGGGAAGUUUAAUUUAACUAAUUGUUGCUUACAAAUAGAUGAAACUGGAACAGUGGUGAAGCAAUUAACCACUGAAAUGAGACAACUUGUACAUGUUCCAGUCCAGACUUGGACUGAUCUUUUAGAUGAAGGGGGAUUCUUGGGGGGGAAUUUUUCGCAAUUGGAAACAAGCAUUAUUUAUGGUAGGUGUAAUACUAUUGGGACUAAUGUGUAUGCCCUGUUUAAUUCCCAUGAUUAAAAAUUUAGUCCAUACGACUGUAACCAGUAUAAUGGAUGGCAUCAAGCAGGAAGAAAAGAUACAGACACUAUUAGCUUUCCAGGAAAUUACAGAAAAAGUUAACAUAAUAGAGAAUGAACACAAAAAAGAAAUGUAUAAAAUGUGUGCUUUUACUGUGAAAAGGUGUGGCUCAAAUAUUUAUUAGGAGUCCACCACGCUUUGCAAAUUGUUGUAUCCAAUAAAUCUCUG